rnacentral:rRNA from 1 species
UACGAAGGGUGCAAGCGUUAAUCGGAAUUACUGGGCGUAAAGGGUGCGUAGGCGGUCUGUUAAGUUGGAUGUGAAAGCCCCGGGCUCAACCUGGGAAUGGCAUCCAAAACUGGCAGGCUGGAGUGCGGUAGAGGAUGGUGGAAUUCCCGGUGUAGCGGUGAAAUGCGUAGAGAUUGGGAGGAACACCAGUGGCGAAGGCGGCUUUCUGGACGAUAACUGACGCUGAGGCGCGAAAGCGUGGGUAGCAAACAGGAUUAGAUACCCUGGUAGUCCCU